ensembl:lncRNA
CUGUCUUCACAGACGCCCCUUGGUCUGCUGAGUCACCAGCAGGAGGACCCCUCUCAGCCCAAGCCCAUGUUGUUUCUGGUUUUGAGCAAACGCAUUUACUGCCUGGAUCUCCUGGACACGCAAACCCUGCACCUGAGACACUCAGCCCUCCCCACAAAGAAAAGGAAAGAAGGGAGAGAGUCAAUGCAUUCAAUACCUUCCGUUCAACCCCGUGUCUUCCUCCAUGAUCUUCCCCUUUCGAUCCUGAGCCUGUGCUUCUGUACAAGCCUGGCUUGAGCAGGACUUAAACUUUCACACACAAAACUCAGCAUAGCAAUCCCCAAGGGCCCUUGAGCCCCUUCCAGCCUGACUAGCAUCAUGCAGGGAAAAUCGUCCAAAUCGGCUUGCCCAGAAAGCAGGAAGGCUGUGUUAUGGAAACACUGCCUGCUGUCAUGGCAACGGAAUGGACAGCAUCCUCCACGCCAGCCUCCGUGGCCGGCAGGAUGUGUGUCUAAGAUAGGAGGGCAGAGGACCAGCCAUAUUCAGAAUCAAUCUUAUUUUAGGGAGGAAUUAAGUCUCCAUAUCCUUUGGAUGAUGAAUGACUGCAACCUCAAGGGCCAUAUCUAUAGAGAUAAUCAUGGGCCAUAAAGAAAAAAUACUUGAUUCAGUUCAGCGUGCAUCUGAAUAUAAUAUACAGUUUUAUCCUUACACAAGGAGAACUUAUGUCAGACUUUCAUCCUGUUCUUUCUAUAUGAUCUUUUUGAGUGCUCACCACCAGCUACCCACGCAUAGACUAUUUGCACAGGGUCAUAGGACACGCCAUGUGGGUCUCUCCCAAGAGAGCAACUGUCUCAGCACUCAGGUGUUAUCCUCAAAAGUGAAGUUCAAUCUUUGCUUUAAAAAUAUAGAAGGAGUGAAAUGGUUGUCUAGCCUACUAGCAUAAACAGUUUCUCACUGUUUAAUCAAUCACAUAGCUGUUAAUUGUCAACGAAAGGAUGCAAAAAAAAAAAUGUUAUCCAUGAAUAGAUAAUUGGUAUAAACUUGCAUCAUCUGUG